GGACGGGGACGUGCGCCGCCAUCCAGCCCGGCGGUGCGUGCUACGAGCCCAACACCCUCGACGCGCAUGCAAGCUACGCGAUCAAUGCGUACUGGCAGCAGUUCAAGGCGAAGGGAGGCAGUUGUUACUUCAAUGGCCUUGCAGUGAAGACUAACAAAGAUCCAAGCUAUUUAUCAUGCAAGUUCCCCAGCUAUUAGAACUGGUCGAAGAAUGAGAUGAUUGUCGAUCCACGCUUUUCAAGAGUAGGAAAGAAGGCCAUUGCCGCAAUGCCCUUUUAGUCCGUAGGCAGUCAGCACUUUUCUCCCAGCUUCAGUGAUGUCUAUUACGUUGUCUUUAGUUCUAAAAAAUUUGUCGCAUGUGUGACACUUAUAAUUUUGAAAGAAUUUUAUAGGAAAUUUGGAGGAUUAUGAUUCGUAGUAUUAUCACUUCAAGUUGGUUACUCGAUUACUCCCUCUUUAAAGAAAUAUAAGAGCGUUUAGAUCAUUAGUGAUCUAAAUGAAUGGUCUAAA